rnacentral:tRNA from 1 species
UGGCUCAGAGAUUAAAGCGUCUGCCUGCGAUGCAGGAGACCCAGGUUCGAUCCCUGG